rnacentral:tRNA from 1 species
AAAAUCCGUCGACUUUAUAAGUCGUGAGGGUUCAAGUCCUUCUAUUCCCCC